rnacentral:rRNA from 1 species
GAUGAACGCUGGCGGCGUGCCUAAUACAUGCAAGUCGAGCGAACGGACGAGAAGCUUGCUUCUCUGAUGUUAGCGGCGGACGGGUGAGUAACACGUGGAUAACCUACCUAUAAGACUGGGAUAACUUCGGGAAACCGGAGCUAAUACCGGAUAAUAUUUUGAACCGCAUGGUUAAAAAGUGAAAGACGGUCUUGCUGUCACUUAUAGAUGGAUCCGCGCUGCAUUAGCUAGUUGGUAAGGUAACGGCUUACCAAGGCAACGAUGCAUAGCCGACCUGAGAGGGUGAUCGGCCACACUGGAACUGAGACACGGUCCAGACGCCUACGGGAGGCAGCAGUAGGGAAUCUUCCGCAAUGGGCGAAAGCCUGACGGAGCAACGCCGCGUGAGUGAUGAAGGUCUUCGGAUCGUAAAACUCUGUUAUUAGGGAAGAACAUAUGUGUAAGUAACUGUGCACAUCUUGACGGUACCUAAUCAGAAAGCCACGGCUAACUACGU